GAUUGCCAGAUAGGUGGUGGUGGUUUCUUUCUUGGAGACUGCAAUGAUGGUUUGUGCCAGCUUUGGAAAACAGUUGUCGUAGCUGUUGUUAUAUGGCAAUGAUGGUUUGUGCCAGAGUUGGAAAACUUGUCUAGCUGGUACUAGAGUCAGCUCCCUCGUCUCCAUCCUGGUUUGUGUGUGUCAUCAUCGAUUGCAAGACACAGAAUACAGAAGCAAUGGAUAAAACCGAUACGACACAUUCCCUGCUUUUAAUAUCUGAAGAAUUAAUGCAGCAGGACACAGCUCAUCACUCAGAAAGAUCUAUGAGGCAGCUGCUCUAAUACUUCUGCUCACGUCAGAUAGUGGGAUGAACUCUACAAGCGCUGAUCUUCUAGAGUGUAAAACAUUUAUGUGUUGAAACGCCCAAUAAUAAAAUACA